UUUGUUGCUUUAGAAGAACUUUCUCAAGAUUUUGUUGAUCAAAUAGCCUUCUUGCAGUAUUUCAAAGCCACAUGGGUGCCGAAAUUUGAAAUGUGGCUUACUACAAUGAAGACGUUACCUCUUGCGAGCCAGGAAGCAUCUGGUGCAAUUGAAGCAUAUCAUGUCAAGCUGAAAGUAAGACUAUAUGAUGAUUCACAUCUUGGA
rnacentral:misc_RNA from 1 species